rnacentral:rRNA from 1 species
GCGAUGAAGAUUGGUGCUUGCACCAAUUUGAAGAGCAGCGAACGGGUGAGUAACGCGUGGGGAAUCUGCCUUUGAGCGGGGGACAACAUUUGGAAACGAAUGCUAAUACCGCAUAAUAACUUUAAACACAAGUUUUAAGUUUGAAAGAUGCAAUUGCAUCACUCAAAGAUGAUCCCGCGUUGUAUUAGCUAGUUGGUGAGGUAAAGGCUCACCA